CGUGCAGCCGGGUCUGCAAGUCAGAUGUGAAAUCCAUGGGCUCAACCCAUGAACUGCAUUUGAAACUGUAGAUCUUGAGUGUCGGAGGGGCAAUCGGAAUUCCUAGUGUAGCGGUGAAAUGCGUAGAUAUUAGGAGGAACACCAGUGGCGAAGGCGGAUUGCUGGACGAUAACUGACGGUGAGGCGCGAAGGUGUGGGAGCAAACA
rnacentral:rRNA from 1 species